GAUGAACGCUAGCGAUAGGCUUAACACAUGCAAGUCGAGGGGCAGCACAUGAGUGGCAACACGAUGGUGGCGACCGGCGCACGGGUGAGUAACACGUAUGCAACCUGCCCAUAACUGGGGGAUAACCCGUCGGAAGGCGGACUAAUACCGCAUGACAACGAUGAUCCGCAUGGUGAUUCGUUUAAAGAUUUAUCGGUUAUGGAUGGGCAUGCGUUCCAUUAGGUAGUUGGCAGGGUAACGGCCUACCAAGCCUACGAUGGAUAGGGGUUCUGAGAGGAAGGUCCCCCACAAUGGUACUGAGACACGGACCAGACUCCUACGGGAGGCAGCAGUGAGGAAUAUUGGUCAAUGGGCGAGAGCCUGAACCAGCCAAAUCGCGUGAAGGAUGAAGGUAUUAUGUAUUGUAAACUUCUUUUGUCGGGGAAUAAAGUGCAGCACGUGUGCUGUUUUGUAUGUACCCGAAGAAUAAGGAUCGGCUAACUCCGUGCCAGCCGCCGCAGUAACAC
rnacentral:rRNA from 1 species